GUCAAAUGAUGAACCAAUUAUAUAUGGGGCCUUUUAUACUCAACCAUGACAUGCUAAAGUCAACAUGCACACAACACUCUAAAUCAAGAAAAUAAGUCUCUUUUGUGGAAGAAGACCAAAUUUACCUCUCUUUCUAAGCCAUCAAUUCUGAUUAUUAUUUUUCGGUCGGAUCAGUAAUGAAAGACUCUGCUCGAUAUAAGUUCGAAUAUCAUUAACAAUAUUCUGAAUUAAUAUUUUAUUUUGUGCGAAUUCGAAAGAUAAAACUAAUUGCAAACUUGUUAAGAUACAAAGAAAAGAAUCACACUCCAUGGAAAACAAUUCUUUAUAGUAACAUAGAUAUCAAUAAAUCAAUGUUUAUAUACAAUUCAAACGACAGAAAAUAUUUCACAAACCAAACAAACUAGACUAAUCUAAAAUUUAUCAAUCUAUCUUUUUCAAAACCUUUUAAUCAAAAUAAUAUGAAGAGGGGNN
rnacentral:lncRNA from 1 species